GGCUAGCCGUAAACUUUUAUUUACACCUUAUCGCCAGGGAACUACGAGUUAAACUUAAAACCCAAAGGACUUGACGGUACCCCAUAUCCCCCUAGAGGAGCCUGUCCUAUAAUCGAUAAUCCACGUUUAACCUCACCAUUUUUAGUUAAUCAGCCUGUAUACCUCCGUCGUCAGCUUACCACGUGAGCGUUAAUUAGUGAGCCUAAUGUUAUUUCACCAACACGUCAGGUCAAGGUGCAGCAAAUAAAAUGGAAAGAGAUGGGCUACACUUUCUACUUUAAAAAAAACGAAAAACUACCUAUGAAAUCUAGUUAGAAGGCGGAUUUAGCAGUAAAAAGGAAUCAGCAUGUCCAUUUUAACCCGGCACUGGGGUGUGUACACACCGCCCGUCA
rnacentral:rRNA from 1 species